rnacentral:rRNA from 1 species
UACGAAGGGGACUAGCGUUGUUCGGAAUCACUGGGCGUAAAGCGCACGUAGGCGGAUAUGUCAGUCAGGGGUGAAAUCCCGGGGCUCAACCUCGGAACUGCCCUUGAUACAGCAUAUCUUGAGUCCGAUAGAGGUGGGUGGAAUUCCUAGUGUAGAGGUGAAAAUUCGUAGAUAUUAGGAAGAACACCGGUGGCGAAGGCGGCCCACUGGAUCGGUACUGGACGCUGAGGUGCGAAAGCGUGGGGAGGCAAACAGG